rnacentral:rRNA from 1 species
GUGCUUGCAUCAUGAUUUACAUUUGAGUGAGUGGCGAACUGGUGAGUAACACGUGGGAAACCUGCCCAGAAGCGGGGGAUAACACCUGGAAACAGAUGCUAAUACCGCAUAACAACUUGGACCGCAUGGUCCGAGUUUGAAAGAUGGCUUCGGCUAUCACUUUUGGAUGGUCCCGCGGCGUAUUAGCUAGAUGGUGGGGUAACGGCUCACCAUGGCAAUGAUACGUAGCCGACCUGAGAGGGUAAUCGGCCACAUUGGGACUGAGACACGGCCCAAACUCCUACGGGAGGCAGCAGUAGGGAAUCUUCCACAAUGGACGAAAGUCUGAUGGAGCAACGCCGCGUGAGUGAAGAAGGGUUUCGGCUCGUAAAACUCUGUUGUUAAAGAAGAACAUAUCUGAGAGUAACUGUUCAGGUAUUGACGGUAUUUAACCAGAAAGCCACGGCUAACUACGUGCCAGCAGCCGCGGUAAUACGUAGGUGGCAAGCGUUGUCCGGAUUUAUUGGGCGUAAAGCGAGCGCAGGCGGUUUUUUAAGUCUGAUGUGAAAGCCUUCGGCUCAACCGAAGAAGUGCAUCGGAAACUGGGAAACUUGAGUGCAGAAGAGGACAGUGGAACUCCAUGUGUAGCGGUGAAAUGCGUAGAUAUAUGGAAGAACACCAGUGGCGAAGGCGGCUGUCUGGUCUGUAACUGACGCUGAGGCUCGAAAGUAUGGGUAGCAAACAGGAUUAGAUACCCUGGUAGUCCAUACCGUAAACGAUGAAUGCUAAGUGUUUGGAGGGUUUCCGCCCUUCACUGCUGCAGCUAACGCAUUAAGCAUUCCGCCUGGGGAGUACGGCCGCAAGGCUGAAACUCAAAGGAAUUGACGGGGGCCCGCACAAACGGUGGAGCAUGUGGUUUAAUUCGAAACUACGCGGAGAACCUUACCAGGUCUUGACGGACUAUGCUAAUCUAAAAAAUUAAACAUUCCCUUCCGGGCCCUGGAAACAAGUGGUUCCU